rnacentral:rRNA from 1 species
UACAGAGGGUGCAAGCGUUGUUCGGAAUUAUUGGGCGUAAAGGGCGCGUAGGCGGUGCCACAAGUCACCUGUGAAAUCUCCGGGCUUAACUCGGAGCCUGCAGGCGAAACUGUGGUGCUGGAGUGUGGGAGAGGAGAGUGGAAUUCCUGGUGUAGCGGUGAAAUGCGCAGAUAUCAGGAAGAACACCCGUGGCGAAGGCGGCUCUCUGGUACGUGACUGACGCUGAGACGCGAAAGCGUGGGGAGCGAACAGG